CAAAGUUAAUUUACAAAAAAAGGGGGAAAUACGAUUACAGAAUCAAUACAUUUUGGAUGUUUGUUGUAUAUCACGACUUGUUUGAAUAUAUAGAGUUAUCAAAAGUUAUAUAAUAUAUUGUUAACAUAUAUUAUUUAACCGCAGAGGACAGUCUAGUGAUCUGCCUGAAACUACAAUGAAUAGUUCAGUGAAAAGAUGUAAUAUGAAGGAAGGAAAGUAUGUUAAAAUAAAAGGCUACGAAUUAGAAAGAAAUAUACAAAAGCAGUGAUUGGAAUGAGAAACAGGGCCAAAUAAUUAUAACUAAAUGGAAAGAAUGAUACUUUUUAAAAGUAGGAAAUGCAGUUUGGUUGGUAUGUAAACAAAUAAACAAAUAACUAUAGAAUGCGAUGCAGUUUCAGAGAGAGUUAUCAUUUUACAGGUGGAAGGAAGAGGAGAGGAGAAGACGUUCUGAUCGCGCCAUAUGCGAUUUACGACCACGAUGACGAUUCAUUGAUGCAGUGAUAAUGGCGGAGUACUAAUUUAUUUAAUUUGAUUAGGGGGGGGGGCAAUAUAUAUUUUGCCCAUAGCGACCUAAACAGAAUAAGUCAAUUGUAACUCGAAUUCUGUUUUCAGAUUAAGUCAACGUGUGUAAAUAUGAUUAGCCUUUGUUUUUAGCUCUGUAUAUACAUUUUGAUAAUUAUUUAAUUAUGCUUUUAAUGAUGAACCUUCGGAAUAACAAACAUUAAAUUUCGGAAUUAUGAAUCUGCAGAAAAAGGACAUGAUAGCAAGAUAGAGUGGAAUAUUUUGUAGCCUCUCUUUUCAACCAAAAGAUUUGGAAUAGAGGAAUGGUGCUGAAAUCGAGAUUUCUAAUUCCGUUUCGAGAGCUUUCAUUCUAGCUCUUUCCUAUAAUUACUGUUAUAGCCGCAGAAUGAACACGUAUUCAAAAUGCAUUGCAAUUUUCAAUUUUACCAGGGGUACGACAACAAUGAAGCGAGGUAACAGGUAACGACCACGACGGCUACUAAGUCACGACUACGAUGGUGGUGAGCAAGCGAUUACGAGACUGAUAGCGCCCACGGUGGUAACCAGCGAGGGAAGAAGGGCGGCGACCAGCCUCGCUACCAGGGUGAUGGCAACCAGAGCAAUGAACAAGAUGGAGCCGACCAGGGCGACGGCAUGGACGGCAACCGGAGUUUGACCACGGUGAAGACGACCGAGCCGGAGAAGACGUCCAGAGGGACGGCGACCAGCAGGGUGAUAGCUACGGAGAUAUACAAGAUGAUACACCCUUUGUCUCUUCGCUGCUAAGAAGACGACGAGUUAACUGUCAUCUUAGAUGCCUCGCAGAGAUACAACUUAAGUCUUCAGAUUGAACUUUAAAAAAAAUUAAAAACACGACGUUGCAAGGUAAAGCUGAUUGUUAUGCAAACAUGAGCUACAAGCUAGAUGACAUCCAUGUCAAUGACAGCUGCUCGUCAUCAAAAAAAAUAUCAGGACUUUGACGCCCACUCAUGAACAAAGGAGAAGCCAAAAAUGGAAAUGAAUUUGAAAGAAAACUUUGAAUCUUGCUCAACCAAGUUAACGUCAUAAACUGUUGCAUGAAAGAGGAUUGUGCAUAAUUUAUUUACAAUGAUGUAUAUCUUAUCUAAAAAUUCUAGACGUCGGAGGCAGUAUUAAUUGAGAGAGAAUAACAUUGUACUAUGUGAUUUAUAUAUUGCACUCUGCAUAGAUGCAUUACAUUAUUUAAAUAUUUUGUUAACAAUUUAGUACUGAUACUAAUUUUACGCAGACUAUCCGAAUUGCUUAUCCGUAUGCCAUGGUUAUGAGAUGUAUAAUUACUAUUGCCUUGUAAGUUGCAUUUUUCUAUGACAUGUUUUAAUCAACAGCGCUGCUAACUAUAAUACUGCUGUUGCUGCCAACUAAUACUGAUGCUGCUGUUAACU
rnacentral:lncRNA from 1 species